GCUGAACUUCUGAAGCGUGCAUACAAAUAUAUGCGUGCAGACGAAGGAGUUUCUGACCGAUGUCAGACAGAAGGCAAAGGUUAGAAGAAGAAGAAACAGAAGAAGGAAGGAGCUCCGGUCGAAUCAAGUCGGCCAUCUUCUAAUAAGCAAGCUUCGCCCCGACGAUGGAGUUCAAAGUCGAGUUACGACAGGUAUGACUCCUAUACUCU
rnacentral:lncRNA from 1 species